rnacentral:rRNA from 1 species
AUUGAACGCUGGCGGCAGGCCUAACACAUGCAAGUCGAGCGGAUGAAGGGAGCUUGCUCCUGGAUUCAGCGGCGGACGGGUGAGUAAUGCCUAGGAAUCUGCCUGGUAGUGGGGGAUAACGUCCGGAAACGGGCGCUAAUACCGCAUACGUCCUGAGGGAGAAAGUGGGGGAUCUUCGGACCUCACGCUAUCAGAUGAGCCUAGGUCGGAUUAGCUAGUUGGUGGGGUAAAGGCCUACCAAGGCGACGAUCCGUAACUGGUCUGAGAGGAUGAUCAGUCACACUGGAACUGAGACACGGUCCAGACUCCUACGGGAGGCAGCAGUGGGGAAUAUUGGACAAUGGGCGAAAGCCCGAUCCAGCCAUGCCGCGUGUGUGGAGAAGGUCUUCGGAUUGUAAAGCACUUUAAGUUGGGAGGAAGGGCAGUAAGUUAAUACCUUGCUGUUUUGACGUUACCAACAGAAUAAGCACCGGCUAACUUCGUG